rnacentral:rRNA from 1 species
UACAGAGGUCUCAAGCGUUGUUCGGAUUCAUUGGGCGUAAAGGGUGCGUAGGUGGCGCCGGUAAGUCAGGUGUGAAAUCCCGGAGCUUAACUCCGGAACUGCACUUUAUACUGCCUUGCUCGAGGGCUGGAGAGGAGACUGGAAUUUACGGUGUAGCAGUGAAAUGCGUAGAGAUCGUAAGGAAGACCAGUGGCGAAGGCGAGUCUCUGGAAAGCUGCUGACCGGCUGAGGCACGGAAGGCCAGGGGAGCAAACGGG